GCAUUAAACAGCGAAACUGCGGACGGCUCAUUAAAUCAGUUAUCGUUUAUUUGAUAGCACCUACUACAUGGAUAACUGUGGUAAUUCUAGAGCUAAUACAUGCUAAAAAUCCCGACUUCGGAAGGGAUGUAUUUAUUAGAUUAAAAACCAAUGCCCUUCGGGGCUCUCUGGUGAUUCAUAAUAACUGCUCGAAUCGCAUGGCCUUGCGCCGGCGAUGGCUCAUUCAAAUUUCUGCCCUAUCAACUUUCGACGGCUGGGUCUUGGCCAGCCAUGGUGACAACGGGUAACGGAGGGUUAGGGCUCGACCCCGGAGAAGGAGCCUGAGAGACGGCUACUACAUCCAAGGAAGGCAGCAGGCGCGCAAAUUACCCAAUCCCAAUUCGGGGAGGUAGUGACAAUAAAUACUGAUACAGGGCUCUUUUGGGUCUUGUAAUCGGAAUGAGAACAAUUUAAAUCCCUUAACGAGGAACAAUUGGAGGGCAAGUCUGGUGCCAGCAGCCGCGGUAAUUCCAGCUCCAAUAGCGUAUAUUAAAGUUGUUGCAGUUAAAAAGCUCGUAGUUGAACCUUGGGCCUGGCUGGCCGGUCCGCCUCACCGCGUGCACUGGUCCGGCCGGGCCUUUCCCUCUGGGGAGCCGCAUGCCCUUCACUGGGCGUGUCGGGGAACCAGGACUUUUACUGUGAAAAAAUUAGAGUGUUCAAAGCAGGCCUAUGCUCGAAUACAUUAGCAUGGAAUAAUAGAAUAGGACGUGUGGUUCUAUUUUGUUGGUUUCUAGGACCGCCGUAAUGAUUAAUAGGGACAGUCGGGGGCGUCAGUAUUCAAUUGUCAGAGGUGAAAUUCUUGGAUUUAUUGAAGACUAACUGCUGCGAAAGCGUUCGCCAAGGAUGUUUUCAUUAAUCAGGAACGAAAGUUAGGGGAUCGAAGACGAUCAGAUACCGUCGUAGUCUUAACCAUAAACUAUGCCGACUCGGGAUCGGACGAUGUUAUUUUUUGACUCGUUCGGCACCGUAUACGAAAGUAAAGUUUCUGGG
rnacentral:rRNA from 1 species